UAAUGAUUGCGGAUCUCCUCUAGCCGACCUACAUUCGCCGCGUGUCUCACUCACCAUAGCAGGCGGCUAAAAGCGGCUGACAGCUGACAGAGCCAUUAUUGCACCAUACCUAGAACAACGCUCCAGCGGAAAUUCCGAAAAAAUCUUUUCGGAUCGCCUUGAUUUGAAAAGGCUCCAGCACCAGCGUGCCAAACGCCAA
rnacentral:lncRNA from 1 species